rnacentral:lncRNA from 10 species
GAGUGUGUGGGCCUGUCUGUCUCCAAGGCCUCGCCACACAACAGUCCCUCAGCGGUUUCGCUGUUAUGCGAGGUCUUUACCCCGGGAUGUUCCGGGGAGUCAAUCCCUCCCCGCCCUAGGCUACGCCGGGAACGGCCGGCAGCUGAUCCGAACUUUCUGCCGGGCCUCCUUUCUCAUUCCUCGGGUUCGGCAGUACCACACCCGCCACGCGAUUGGUAUCGUAGGAGGGCCUUGUUUGACCACGGCGACUCGUUACUUAUGGGUGAGGAUUUACGCGCGUCCUUCCGGAGGCCACACAUCACUUCCCUUGCUCCGCCCAGUUUAGAGACCUGCGCACCCGCCAGGGCGUGAGAGAGACUACCCGGCGCGCGGUGACGCCCCAGCUCGCCCACACUUCUGCCCCGUCCCGCCCAUCGUUGCGCGGCCGCGGGCCAAUCAGAUCGUGCCUUUACUCUACGCCCCCGGCUCCCCCGAACUUCUGUCCUCAUUUCAGGGCGACUUUGGGAACACAAUAGUCGACUCGCCGACGUUCCCUUAGACGCGUUGCCAUACGUCGUCACCCAUAGAAACGGCUUUCCGCGGGGCAGACUCCAAGUCUCGCCUGUGUGAGCGGGCAGGGGUAGCAGGAAAGGCUGUUUUUCAUUUCCAAGAGAAAACCGUCACCCCGCCCACCUCGAACCUCCUCCCAACAUCUCAGGAUAGAAACGCCGCGCUCAGAAAGAUACAAGUCUUCUCAUUGGAAAUGUUAACCAAGAUGAAUGAAAUGGAAACCAACACCUGGACAUGUCAUGGUGAAAUGUUAGAACACUGGGCACGAAGGAAAUGAUUAAGCCCAUCAUCUCCAAGAUCUUUUUACGUUUUAAGAGUCUGUGACUUGGGCUGAGAGCCGUGGUUCAUGACUGUAAUCCCAGCCCUUUGGGAAGCCGAGGCGGAGAAGAUAACUUGAGCCCAG